rnacentral:tmRNA from 1 species
UCUCUUUCACAUUCUGCGAUUCGGCACUAUAUGAACCUCGUCAGCUUGCUGACUAUGGUGAUAAACGGUGCGUGGAAUAAGCGUUGUGGACCCGGGGGCGGUACCCGGCGCCUCCAUAAUAUUCUGGCCCGCCUGAUUCAGACUACGCGGCGAUGCCGCUUCGUCAUCAGGAGGGCUUGGGGGUUGUGAGGGGGCGAAACAGACUCGACACGCGUGGUAAAGACCCAUCUUUUGCCCGGCAUUGUACCGCCGUUAUCGGGCUAAUUUUUAAAUGCGAACGAUAACAACGUAGCAUUCGCUGUCGCUGCCUAAUCAGUAGCUAAGCGCGGUUCGGGGGGCACCGGGCAACAGAAGCCCCCCACU